CCUUUAACAACUGUCGAGAAAAUUUUAUUUACAAUAAUAUAUUCGCGUGAACAAAGCAAUAACACUCACCCCGCUUAGGCGAGCCAGCCCGGGUCAUUGCAUUUACAUGGAAAUUGCCAUAAAAAUUGCCAGCCCGAGAUCUCGCUAGAGCAUGGUUUCCAUAUGGUCUUAAUGAAUGGUCGUAAAAAUAGAGUCACGAUCUUUCUCAACGGCCAGUUUAUAAUAGUUUAUACCUGUAAACCACAUAUAAAUCAUAAGUAUUCUCUACUUAUAAUCACUCCGCGUAUUUUCAGUUCUAAAAUGUUGUAUUUGGGCUGAUGAGAAAGAUCGUGACUCAAUCUUUACGACCGUUACUACCAUAUGGAAACCAGGUUUAGACGGGCCAGCUCGGUUCCCAUAAACGCAAAAUAAAAUUUAGUAGGAAAUAAUAACAAAGGCGGCCGGGAUCCCGCCUAAACCGGGCCAGCUCUGGUAUCUGUAAUUAUAUGGAGCGAGCCAGCCCGGGUAUCGCCCAAAAAAUACACACGUUUUUUUUAAACUACACCACAUAGUCACAGAAUAGACACACACAGAAGUCCGACUUCAUGGUUUUGGCCAUACCAAUCAGUAUCCCCAUGUACGUUCCUAACCAGUGCUCUUAAGAGUAGAAUUCACCUCCCCCCCGAAGAUAUUCAAAAUGGUAGACAUUCAGGGAGGUGACUACUUCUUGUACGGAAAAGGUUAUUUCGCCGGCCUCAGAAUGACAAAACGUAACAAAGCAUCGGUUUUACAAACACUCACCCUAUUCCAAACACCAACUCUAACCCUAACCCGAACUCUAACCCUAGUUUGUUUCUAAACCAAUCUUGAAGAAAAAAGUUUUGACGAAAUGUCAUUCUGAGGUCAGCGAAAUAACUUCUUCCCUCUUGUGCGCGCACUGGCUAGGAACAUGGGGAGUACAUCUUGAUGACGAGCGGUAGUUUACAUAGUAUAGUGUUUAUAUAUUCUAUGAAUUUGGUGGCCACAGAGUACCCGAGUAUGAAUGUCUAAUUUCUUGCCCAGGUGCACUGCUGUAUGUUUUGCUGGAAUACGCUCUGCGACGCGUUCUCUCAUUGGUCAAAGUGUUGCCAUGGUUACUUGAGGUUAACCGGGAAUUUGAGGUCGGCGGUAGCAAAGUAG